CCAGGCCAGUCCGGGGGGCGGUGCAGAGGACACCCGGCGGGCUGCCUGGGGGUAGAGGGAGCCCCUGGUGUUUGUGGCAGCGCUGGGUCCGUUCGGCCGUGCGCCGCCCCAGCGGCUCCUGGUGCAGCUCCGCUGUUCCCCACCUGUGACCCUGGCAGGCCCCUCGCGGGCGGAUCCCCCAGUGGAACGUGCUGCUGCCGUGCCUCCUUGGCCUCCACGCAGCCCCCAGGCCCACCCCGUGCAGGGCCUGGCACCGAGCAGCUCCCUUCCAGGCAGGACCUCCCGGGGUGCCGGAGCCGCCUGCGGGGAGCGGCCCGUGUCAUCGGCCCCGGGAGCAGGGGCUGCGCGGGGCGCCCGAGCGUGGCCAGCGUUUUAUUUCUCAUAUUGUUUGCAGGUGGUGACUCAGCUGAAUCAUUCAGCAAAUCAAGACCCAAUCACCACCCACCGUGAAGAGCGUUUAAAGCUGGGCUGCUCUCAGGAGGCCCCCGGACGCAGCAUCAGUUCCACUUGGCCGGGGUCGAAUCGGGAAGAUUGGAGAGCGGCCCUGAAGACACGGUCCUCCUGGGGCCGGGCCUGCCCGGGACGGGGGCCGAGGGCUGCCCCGAGUUGGUCUGCCUGGCAUGGGUGGUAGCACCCCCCCGGAGUCAUCCAACAGCCCCGUCCCUGGAUGGUGUUUUGAAAACAACUUUAUGAAUUGAGCAUCACGGAUACAGCGAAAGCCCCCGUGUCGCCUCCCUCCUGACUCUGCCCCAACCCCCAGGUUGUCUCCAAACCGUGGAAGCGAGCGGCAACCCGAUGCACACCCCACCUCUGACUGGUUCCCACGUGCCCUCGAGGGGCUCUCGGGCGGAUCCAGAGGACGGAGCUGCUGGGGUUACGGGCGUCCGCGUCUGCAGCUCCAAACUUCUCCUGAUGGUCGAUGGUGGCGAUCAGGGCACAGGCCAGGGGCUCUCACACUGGGGUCCUCACCCCUCAGGGCUUCUGAGACCCUUCUAGGGGUCCCUGAGGUCAAAGCCAUCUUCGUAGGAGUGUGAGAUGUUCCAGCCUUUCUCAUCCUCUCACGAGUGCACCGUAGAAUUUUCCAGACCAGCGUGUGGUAAUGUCAUAGCUCUGAUGGCCAAAGGCACGUGUGCUUUGGUUGUGAUUGAAAUUAAACUUUGAGUAUAUAAUUUCGAAUAUGUAAAUGUUGGUAGACCAAACUCCAAGCCACAAAAGCUCUUCGAGGCCCUCAAUGGUUUUGAGUGUAAAGAAGUCCUGAGACCAAACAGCUCAGGACGUGGGACAGACCCACGGCCUGGACCCCAGGGCGGGGUCCAGGAUGUGGGACAGACCCACGGCCUGGACCCCAGGGCGGGGCCCGACGGGGCUGUGGCAGCUGCGUGGCUCCUCCCCACUUCCUGGGGCGCCGGUGGCACAGUGAUAGCACGCGUGGCUGCCGGAGAUGUGCUGACCGGCCCUGCUCGGGGGGCCCCCAGAGGACGUUCGUGCGCCUGGAAUUCUCGGCACUUCUCAGAACAGCCGCAGCCUGACCCCUCGGCCGCUGGGGGGCGCUGAAGGCGUGUCACAGACCUGACCUCUCUGAUCCUGUCCCGCUGGGCACACCGAGCGUCUGAGCAGGGAAUCCUUCUCGAGGCUUGGGGCGGGGCGGGGGGUGCAGAGGCAGGAAGUCAGGGAGCCUGGUGCUGGUCAGACUCUGCUCCCAAGAGCGACCUUUACCCGCCGAGUCUCAGGUGCAGACGCACGGAAAAGGAACACAGGACUUCUUUCCCUGGACCAUCUGAGAGCCACGGGCGACACGACGCCCAGCGGCACGGACGCUUUUUUGUGUAUUUCCCUCAAACGGACACUCCUCCUGCGUGACCACUACGCCAGCACUCGUGUCAGGAAAGCACAUGGAUACGACAGCACCGUCCAAGCCUCAGACCCCACACACGCUUUGCCGAUGGUCCCCGUCAUGUCCUUUAUGGCAAAAGAAUCUAGUUCAGGACCCCAGGCUGCCAGGUUGCUGCCGCUGUGAGGAACCUCUUCUCCUCAUCCAUUUGUUAUUUAUUUAUAUUUAUUUAUUAUUCAGAGGAAAACAGGGACCCUUUUGAAAGGGGGCACAAUCAUAAUUACACAGGGACCCUAGGUAUAAAGCAGGACUUUCCCCCAGAAAACUGGGAGGUGGGCUCACCUGUGACAUGCCCCUCCCCAACGCCAGCUGGCGCCCUGCUAAGGAGAGCACGCUGCCGCCCCUGCAAAGGGCACCCCUGCCCCCCAGCUCCAGAAGCCAGGCCUUGACGGGCCUCCUGACACCGCCCGCCCCUCACCUCCACAACCGUCCCGUCACCAGGUCCCGUGCAUUCUACUUCCAGCUAUGGCGUCGUCCACGCGACCACCGCACCCCUCCCAUCCCCUCUGCAGGCUGAAGCCAGAGGCUCUUUGAAAAUGCAGCUCCGAUUCUGUCCCUCUGUGCCCUCCCCGUCCCCGCCCCCAGCUCCCAGAGGCCCCGCCCUCCUCACCUGCCUUCCCUGGAGCCUACCUCCCUGGCUGGGCUCCAGCACCCUGGUCUGUGGGCCCCUGUGACUCUGAGCUUCCCAGCGCUAACCUGCCAGACACGGACGGAAGGAGAUGGCUCGUGGCUCUGAAUGUUUAUGGUUACUGAGUCAUCUUGUUUUACAGCCAUUGAGUUAAAUUCAUCAGGAAUUGUAUGGGCUAUUAUUUUGGCUCCAGCUGUGAACUCUAAUUCAGCUUGGCGACGUGGCCUGGGAACUUCCCACCCGACACCAGAAUCAGCGGCCGCCACGCGCUCGCCCUUCUCGCUGCCCCUCCCGCUGGGGCUCACCCGCCAGCAACAUCAACAACCCAAAGCCCUGGUCCGGGAAACAAAGUCUCAGUCAGGCGCUGUGUUUAGCCCUCACAGGCAUGACACCUGAUAUAUGGGUGUAAAAGACCCAGCUCGGGCUUCCCUGGUGGCACAGUGGUUAAGAAUCCUCCUGCGUGGGAAGCAGCCGCAUAGCACAGGGAGAUCAGCUCGGUGCUUUGUGACCGCCUGGAGGGGUGGGAUAGGGAGGGUGGGAGGGAGAUGCAAGAGGGAGGAGAUAUGGGGAUAUAUGUAUAUGUAUAACUGAUUCACUUUGUUGUAAAGCAGAAACUAACACACCAUUGUAAAGCAAUUAUACUCCAAUAAAGA